rnacentral:rRNA from 1 species
AGUGAACGUUGGCGGUAGGCCUAACACAUGCAAGUCGAACGGCAGCACAGUAAGAGCUUGCUCUUACGGGUGGCGAGUGGCGGACGGGUGAGGAAUACAUCGGAAUCUACUUUUUCGUGGGGGAUAACGUAGGGAAACUUACGCUAAUACCGCAUACGACCUACGGGUGAAAGCAGGGGAUCUUCGGACCUUGCGCGAUUGAAUGAGCCGAUGUCGGAUUAGCUAGUUGGCGGGGUAAAGGCCCACCAAGGCGACGAUCCGUAGCUGGUCUGAGAGGAUGAUCAGCCACACUGGAACUGAGACACGGUCCAGACUCCUACGGGAGGCAGCAGUGGGGAAUAUUGGACAAUGGGCGCAAGCCUGAUCCAGCCAUACCGCGUGGGUGAAGAAGGCCUUCGGGUUGUAAAGCCCUGUUGUUGGGAAAGAAAAGCAGCAGGUUAAUACCCCGCUGUUCUGACGGUACCCAAAGAAUAAGCACCGGCUAACUUCGUG